GUCCCCCAUUAUUCAGCAGACCUGUGUUUACGCUCUGGAUGAACCUUCUAGCGUGAGGCCAGAAACUCCAUUCGGAUCACAUAUGCAGCCUUACGGGCACACGAGGGGCAUAACCUAAGAAAUGUGUGGGGUCAGUUGGUUUCCCAAGGGGGCACUACUGAGAAGCUGGCUCUCCAGGUCCCAGCCUGCACUACUGCUGCUCAUCGCUGGCCUAAAGCGACCACAGGUCACGCUCAUGCGGAGGAAGAGGAUGAAACGUACAAAAGGAGCGAAGGCCACGUAAGCGAGCUGUUAGUCGGAUGCACUAUUUCACCUAGGAACUGAACAAAAUGGGCAUGGAAUCGGAGGCUGGACUAAGGAAGAACAGUACCCUCAGUCUUCAGAACCUGGAACUACAACACAAAACCCACAAGGGAUUAUUAGGAAGACAAAAUACCAAGAGUCAGACUGACUGGUAAUUCACAAAAAGAAAUUAGUACAGCAUUUCUUAAAUACAUAUUUAUUAUGCCUGAUUAUAUUACACCAAGUGUGACAAAAUCAUUUGCAUUCUUUUGAAAUCCUCUGAUUAGGAAAAGAACAUCUCUGGUGUGGUUCUUUGUAAUUUGUUGCAUAUUGUGUAUUGUACAGAAAUGCCUUGUGAAACGCUGGCAUGAACCCGCACAGGAUAUUAGACUGCAUUUUGCAGGCAGUGAAAGAGAGGAGCAUGGAAUUUCAGAGUAUCUGGAUAAAAACCAGCCAAUCAGACAUUUCUACAGGGGCUGUACGAGAUUUUGUACUUCACUGAUUACUUUUGGUUUUAGCGUAAUGAUUUUGCUACCCCAGCUGAAGUACUCCAAAAUGUAGAUUUUUAUUUAUAUUUUAUUUCUUAUUACAAUAAUUAAAAAACACUAAUACAUAUGCACACAGGAUGGUUCAGAAAUAAGAUUGAAGUCUUUGGUCAGUUAAGAACAUUAGGCGUAAUAAACAGAAAACUGGCUACUUUCAAAUGUUAACAGGACAUUAGAGCAAAACCUGCUAGUUGCUGUUUAAUCUUUCGUCCCAAUGGUGCUUCGAACUCCGUGGCCCUGACAUGAGAAA